rnacentral:rRNA from 1 species
UGAGGAAUAUUGGUCAAUGGGCGAGAGCCUGAACCAGCCAAGUAGCGUGCAGGAUGACGGCCCUAUGGGUUGUAAACUGCUUUUAUGUGGGGAUAAAGUGCGUGACGUGUCAUGCAUUGCAGGUACCACAUGAAUAAGGACCGGCUAAUUCCGUGCCAGCAGCCGCGGUAAUACGGAAGGUCCGGGCGUUAUCCGGAUUUAUUGGGUUUAAAGGGAGCGUAGGCUGUCUAUUAAGCGUGUUGUGAAAUUUACCGGCUUAACCGGUGGCUUGCAGCGCGAACUGGUCGACUUGAGUAUGCAGGAAGUAGGCGGAAUUCAUGGUGUAGCGGUGAAAUGCUUAGAUAUCAAGACGAACUCCGAUUGCGCAGGCAGCUUAAUGUAAAAUAACUGACGCUGAUGCUCGAAAGUGCGGGUAUCAAACAGG